ACAUUACUUUACAACUGCUUAAUGCAGUACUGAUGUAUCUAGUAGUUUAGUGGGUUUAACUAAUGUCACAUCUGUUUUUAUUCAUUUCAGAUGCAGAAUCUUUUGACAUAUGAAUUCAUCUUGACUAAGGAACUCUUCACAGCACUGCAGCUAAACAGUCACAACCUCACAGAGCUGCACAACUGCCCCACUCAGAUCAGUGUUGAAGCUGGAACCUCAUCUUGUGUACAGCAAAGGCAGAGCUGAAAAUUCACUGUUUGUCUUGUAUUGUGUGUGGCAAAACCUGGAAUAACACAUGGGAGCCCUCCAGGAAUUCCUGACACUUUACGCCCAAGUCUCCUCAUGCUAACCGGAUUGCAAUAUGACAGUCUAGUCAGCAUAAACACCUGGACUCACCAAGCACACUUUGGUUCUCAGUGUUUUGUAAAAAUAGUUUUUGCUAUUCUUCAGUAAAUACUUGAAUAUGUUUUGAACUUAUUCUACUUUUGAUGUUUAAGUUCAGAAAGUUGUUAUUAUAAACAUAAUUUGCAUUUGUCAUGAACUUGACUUCUU
ensembl:lincRNA